rnacentral:rRNA from 1 species
GAUGAACGCUGGCGGCGUGCCUAAUACAUGCAAGUCGAGCAAACAGACGAGGAGCUUGCUCCUCUGACGUUAGCGGCGGACGGGUGAGUAACACGUGGAUAACCUACCUAUAAGACUGGGAUAACUUCGGGAAACCGGAGCUAAUACCGGAUAAUAUAUUGAACCGCAUGGUUCAAUAGUGAAAGACGGUUUUGCUGUCACUUAUAGCUGGAUCCGCGCCGCAUUAGCUAGUUGGUAAGGUAACGGCUUACCAAGGCAACGAUGCGUAGCCGACCUGAGAGGGUGAUCGGCCACACUGGAACUGAGACACGGUCCAGACUCCUACGGGAGGCAGCAGUAGGGAAUCUUCCGCAAUGGGCGAAAGCUUGACGGAGCAACGCCGCGUGAGUGAUGAAGGUCUUCGGAUCGUAAAACUCUGUUAUUAGGGAAGAACAAAUGUGUAAGUAACUAUGCACGUCUUGACGGUACCUAAUCAGAAAGCCACGGCUAACUACGUG